GUUAGGAAUAUUGGACAAUGGGCGCAAGCCUGAUCCAGCCAUGCCGCGUGAACGAUGAAGGCCUUCGGGUUGUAAAGUUCUUUAGCCGAUGAUUAUAAUGACUGUAGUCGGAAAAUAAGCCCCGGCUAACUUCGUGCCAGCAGCCGCGGUAAUACGAAGGGGGCGAGCGUUAUUCGGAAUCACUGGGCGUAAAGCGUGCGUAGGCGGUCUCGUAAGUUAGGAGUGAAAGCCCAGGGCUCAACCUUGGAAUUGCUCUUAAUACUGCAAGGCUAGAAUCUCGGAGAGGAUAGCGGAAUUUCCAGUGUAGCAGUGAAAUGCGUAGAUAUUGGAAGGAACACCAGUGGCGUAAGCGGCUAUCUGGACGAGUAUUGACGCUGAGGCACGAAAGCGUGGGGAUCAAACAGGAUUAGAUACCCUGGUAGUCC
rnacentral:rRNA from 1 species